AACCGAGUUUAUUAUGUGAUCAACUUACGCCUUAAGGAUCAAAACCAACCACAGCUGGAUCACCCUCGAUGGCACGCUAACAAGUACUGUACGUACCUACACAGCGAACUACAGCAGAAACACAGUAGCAGUAAUUUGGUUCAUCCACUCUGUACUCCUAUCCUAUGGCAUACAACAAAUCUUGAGACUCCACUCUUUCUGCUUACAGCUAACAACAUAUUCAGAGGGUAAAGUAAGUUUCUGGGUAGAUACAAGUCUUUUGUGGCAACAAAAAUCCUGCUUAAUCGUGAAGCAAUGUAGUACUAACAAACAAGAUAUCAUCCUCGUUGUAAGAUGCAACAAAGUAUGCUUGUGAACUAUAGCAACAAAGAAGGGGCUAGCUCUGGAAACACCUUUGAAAAUGUACAGACUACAAUGUACCAGGACUAAGACAUGCUGGAAGAUUGAGUCUCUUCUUUGGUCUCAAUACAUACAGCUGCUAGAAGACAGUCACAGCUCUUUAUUUGCCGGUCCACAGGAAAGAAUGCCGCCGCCUUCGUGUCCCCGCUUCUCUUGCUGUGUGCACUAAUGUCUAACAUUCUCCGGGACAAUCCUUCCAUCAAACCAUGAACUGGACUUCGGAUUGAUGAACCUUGACCAGGCUGAAAACCAGGCUGAAUACACACCUCCGAUCAUUUCUGUGAUAUAUCUUCCAUCUAGGGAAACAAAAAAUCUCCCGCCUAAGGUUUCGANN
rnacentral:lncRNA from 1 species